AUUAACGCUAGCGGCAGGCCUAAUACAUGCAAGUCGAGGGGCAGCACGGGUAGCAAUACUUGGUGGCGACCGGCGCACGGGUGCGUAACGCGUAUGCAACUUACCUUAAACUGGAGAAUAGCCUUUCGAAAGGAAGAUUAAUACUCCAUAGCCUUAUGAAAAAGCAUUUUUUUAUAAGUAAAGCUCCGGCGGUUUAAGAUGGGCAUGCGUGUCAUUAGCUAGUUGGUGAGGUAAUGGCUCACCAAGGCUACGAUGACUAGGGGAUCUGAGAGGAUUAACCCCCACACUGGUACUGAGACACGGACCAGACUCCUACGGGAGGCAGCAGUAAGGAAUAUUGGACAAUGGUGGAAACACUGAUCCAGCCAUGCCGCGUGAAGGAUGAAGGCCCUCUGGGUUGUAAACUUCUUUUAUACGAGAAAAAACCCUUGUUCGUGAACGAGGUUGAUGGUACCGUAUGAAUAAGCAUCGGCUAACUUCGU
rnacentral:rRNA from 1 species